rnacentral:rRNA from 1 species
GAGAGUUAAACAGUACGUGAAAUUGUUGAAAGGGAAACGAUUGAAGUCAGUCAUACCAACGGGAAAUCAACCUUUUGAGCUCGGUCUCGUGGGUUUUGAAGAGUUUCAAAGCCUUCGGAUUCGCGGGAUUGGGAUCUCUCGGUGUACUUUUUCGUACGGUUAGUCAACAUCGGUUUUGAAUGUCAUAAAAUGACUGGAGGAAUGUAGCUUCGAUCUCGUAUUGAAGUGUUAUAGCCUUUGGUAGAUGUGAUGUUUGAGACCGAGGAUUGCAACGGAUACCCUUCAGGGCUAUUCGUCUGAUCUCUGAUACGUUGCCUUGAUGUUGAAAGCUUGCUUAUGAUGUUAGGGUAUUACGGUCAAAAGGUUAGAACGAAUUACAUUCGUUAAGGAUGUUGACGUAAUGACUUUAAACGA